CCAGUGACUCAUAGGUAUGUUCAGCAUCCUGCUUUGGUGCCGCGAAGACAUGGAAGCGACGUGAGAACCCCAGCGUAUUAACCGCGAAGUUAACCCUGCAUCGUUGCCCGGCAACCUCAGCCUCAACUUCUCCCCAGUCAUGCUGUAGCUGGUAACCGGGCUGAGUUUCGAAGCGAACCGUUUUCUUCGAUGGCCGCAUCUUACGUUUGGGCUGGAUGUAGUAGCGCAACAUGGAACGGCCACCGGUAUAACCCAUCGCUUUGAUUUCC
rnacentral:rRNA from 1 species